rnacentral:rRNA from 1 species
UGGGGAAUCUUGGACAAUGAGUGAAAACUUGAUCCAGCGAUAUCACAUGGGUGAAGAAGGCCAUUUGGUCGUAAAACUCUUUCGUCAACGAUGAUAAUGACAGUAGUUGAAGUAAGAAGUCCUGGCAAAUCCUGUGCCAGCAGCCGCGGUAAUACAGGAGGGGCAAGCGUUAUUCGGAUUUAAUGGGCGUAAAGGGUGCGUAGGCUAUAAAUUAGAUUAAAUAUGAAAUCCCAAAGCUUAACUUUGGAACUGUAUUUAAAAUCGAUUUAUUUGAGUUAGAUAGAGGUUAGUGGAAUUCUUAAAGUAAAGGUAAUAUUUGUCGAUAUUAGGAGGAAUACCUGAGGCGAAGGCGGCUUUCUGGAUCUAUACUGACGCUGAGGCACGAAAGCGUGGGGAGCAA